CGGUGAUGCUGGAAUAUCCCUGUCAGCGCACGUGGCGUUUUCUUCUGUUGAAGACGGAUUCAGUUUCUUGGCCCUCUGAAAGCUAAGUGGAGGCUGGGGGCCUGGGAAGGGGCUGAAAACUGCAGGGAGGGGGGUUAAGUUCCGUUCGGGGCAAGGGUUCUCCGGGAACAGUCUCCCUUGGGCAGGUGAAGGGUCCAGGGAAUUUCACAGCGCGAUGCCAGCGUGUGCCGGGCAGGGCAGCUCCAGCCAACGUCUGCGUCGCUGUGUAGUUCGGGAAGCCUGCCUUGCGCCCGACAGCCGAUCGUGGGGUCUCGUUGCUUUCCAGGGGCAGGAAAGGCCUCUCGGGUGCCAUCCCGACAUCUGGAAUGCCGCUGCCGAUCGGGCGCUGGUUUUCUGGUGUCGGCAGCCGAAAGCGUGGCGGGUUCUUGCCUUUGGGCCAUUUCUGGUCAGGGCUGUUUGCGGUGUUGUCCCGGGCUGUGCCGGCAGCCGUGCUCUCUACCCAUCCAGUCUCAGGGACUGGAACUUCAAGAUGCUGGGAAGAAGUUCUUAGGUUUUUCAUCAGCUUCUCGUUUGGUUGCGACGUCUCUGCUCGGUUGUGGCGCUGCCGCCGUCUUGUCAGGAGCCGUGACGUCGGGCUCCUUUUCCGUUUGAGGAUGCAGGAGAGGCUCCUCUCCUCCCCAUAGAUUAUUGGGAUCGAUGCCCAUCUGGUCUCGGAGCGUCGUGUUCGUCGUGGAGCGUUUUUGGCGCUGUGGCCGUCGCGUGGUCUAUAAGGUUCUGCGGAGCGUCUGUCGGCCCGGGUGCGCGUUUGGCUCGGAGCUGCUCUGCCCGGACGCGUAGAGGCAGGGGAGGGUGGACGGAGCUCUGGCGGUCCCCGGUUAACCUGCUGACGCGUUAAAUUGCGUGGGCAGAGGCGGCGCGGUCAUCUGGGAUGGAGUAGCCGUGGGCAGGGGAGCGGAGGGUCCCCGCGCAGGCGUUUGAGAGCCUCCACGAGAGCUUGGGACGUUAUUGCGCCACAGAAAGCAGACCUGUGGGCUGGCCAGGCUGUUGAUGGGCUGCUGGGUGACUUGCAGAAUCACCUGAUUUCAGGAGCAGAGGGACAACUUGGCCCGGAAGAGCGACGGAGGAGGCGAGCUGUGCGCCGUAAGCAGGUGCGAAGCGAAGAGGAAAGCGGGCUGUCGGCAGCUCAGCUCCUCGGGCCAGGCGGCAGCUGAGCGUCUCGGCGGUCCGCGGCGUGGCGGUCAAAAGCAAGGGCGGCCAGGUGGGCGAGCGGCCCAGGCGCUUUGUGGGCCCUCUGGACCGGGAGGAGCAUUUGCGGCGUCACCAGUGCUGAGGGUUUGUGACCGCGCCAGCGGCAGGACACGCCGACCGGACCGCCCUGGAGCUCAGCAGGAGGCGCUGAAGAGGAACCCGGCGCCGCGGGAAGACGGCCGUUGGCACACGUGGCGUUUUCCUCUGCCGAAGAUGGGUUCGGUCCCUCGGCCCUCUGAAAGCUAAGUGGAGGCGCGAGGGCUGGGAAGGGGCCGGGAAUGGCAGGGACGGGGGGUUUAGCUCUGCUAAGGGCAAGGGACGUCCAGGAACCGCGCCCUUGGCGCGGGUCAAGGGCCCGGGGACCUUUACCGUGCGAUGCCAGCGUGUGCCGGGCAGGGCAGCUCCAGCCUGCGUCUGCGUUGUGGUGUAGUUCGGGAAGCCUGCCUUGCGCCCGUCAGCCGAUCCUGGGGUCUCGUUGCGUUCCAGGGGCACGAAAGGCCUCUCGGGUGCCAUCCCGGGAUCUGGAACGCCGGUGCCGAUUGGGCGCCGGUUUUCUGGUGUCGGCAGCCGAAAGCGUGGCGGGUUCUUGCCUUUCGGUCACUUCUGGUCAGGGGUGUUUGUGGCGUUGUCCUGGGCUGUGCCGGCAGCUCUGCUCUCUACCCAUCCAGUCUAAGGGACUGGCACUUCUUCCCAGCAUCUUGAAGGUUUUAGCUCUUGUAGCAGCUUCUCGUAUUUGCCCCGUCUCUGUGUGUUUGCGCCAGUGCCGCCGUCUCAUAAGAGGCCGUGACGUUCGGCUCUUAUUUUUCUGGGGUUGCAGUAGAGGCUCCUCCCCUCACCACUGCCUCCCCGUAGGUUAUUUUUAUCGUUGCCGUCUCUGGUUCGGAGUCAUUUUUGUUGCGGAGCAUUUUUG